rnacentral:sRNA from 13 species
CGGGUUCUGCCCGGCACGCGCCGCAUGAAACAUCCCUGAGGCUAUAAGCAAAUCCAAGGGGGCUGUCCCUACCUGGGCCCUGGCACAGGCACAUGGUCCCCACCUGACGUUGAGGCGUCAGAGGAUUUUCCCGGAGAACGACCCAUGGUGGGCCCGUC